rnacentral:ncRNA from 2 species
UAACUCAAGGAGCGUUGCAGCAAAACAUCCGUUUUGUCAGGCUUGGGUAAACAGGGCCGCAUCAUCCCCUUUUAGCAACGACGCUCACCUUUA